CGGCGCCUCCUGGGCGGAGCUGGGGCGGGUCGCGGUGGUCCCCUGGAACCCAAGCGGUCCGGGAUGGGAGAUUCGGCCAUGCCCGCGCCUUGGCAGACCUUCAGGAGCCGCGCGAGAUUCCCGGAAUCCUUGGAUCCCUGGCGGCGUGGCAACGCCCACUGCAACUUGCAGGCUCUGGCGCACACCUGUCCCUCUCUGCCAGGCUGGCCUCACAGCGGAGCGCAGUUAGAGCCGUGCCCUAGACUCCUGUGUGUUUGGGACUUCUGAUCCUGGCGCCGGAGGAGUUAAGUGGAGGUGGUGGGGGAUGAAGAGCUGGGAAGAGGGGUGUCUGGAGUUCGGGACUGGCAGAUCCCAGCAAUGUCUUCCCCUGCUGGUCCCUUUCACGCACUCGCCGCAGAGAGACACAGCAAAAGCACGGAAAACAACCUGACAGAGAGGAGGAAACCUCAAUUGAGAAAAGUACCUCUGUAUGACUGAGCUGUACGCAACCUUGUAGAGCAUUUUCUUAGUGACAGAGGAGAACACGGUUCAUUGUAAGUGCGCCCCUCCUCGGCAGGUGGUCCUGGGUUCUAUAAGAAAGCAGGGUGAGCAAGCCACAAGGAGCAAGCCAGUAAGCAGCACCCCUCCAUGGCCCCUGCAUCAGCUUUUGCCUGCAAGCUCUUGCCCUGUUUGAGUUCCUGUCCUGAUUUCCUUAAGUGAUGAGCAAUGAUGUAUCUGGAUAUAGAACUCUCAGCUCCUUCUCCAGAACCAUGUCUGCCUGCGUGCCACCAUGCUUCCCCCGAUGAUGACAAUGGACUGAACCUUGAAAACUGUAAGCCCCAACUGAAUAAUUUCCUGAUGUAAGAGUUGCUGUGGGAAAGGCAAAUGGGAUGGACAUCGGAAGAGGGAGAAAACAGGGAACAAGACAGGAGCCUACCACAGAGGGCCUCUGAAAGACUCUACCCAGCAGGGUAUCAAAGCACAUGCUGAGACUCAGCCAAAUGAAAGAAGGGGGAGAUAGAAAGACCUGGGGCAGGGGCGGGGGGUGGGGACAGGAGCUCCACAAGAAGAGCAACAGAACCAAAAAAUCUGGGCACAGGGGUCUUUUGUGAGAUGGAUACUCCAAACAAGGACCAUGGAUGGAGAUAACCUAGAACCCCUGCACAGAUGUGGCCCAUGGCAGCUCAGUCUCCAAGUGCGUUUCCUAGUAAUGGGAACAGGACUGUCUCUGACUUGAACUCUUGGGCUGGCUCUUUGGUCACCUUCACCUGAGGGGGGAGGGGAGCAGCCUUAUCAGUCCAAAGAGGAAGACAAUGUAGCCAGUCCUGAUGAGACCUGAUAGGCAAGGGUCAGAUGGAAGGGAAGGUCUUCCUCCCCUAUCAUUGGACUAGGGGAGGGGCAUCGGAGAAGUAGA